UGGGGCACCUCCUAAAAAACAAACGGGUUGUAGAGUUUUCUAUGUCUGAAAAUGGAGUGUUUGCGGUAAGAGGAUUUACGGUAAACCUCAAACAAUGAGGGAAGUCUGUCUAAGGACCGGACGCUUCGUCCACAAUGUGCAACCUGCACCCAAUCCUCGUCUAUUUUUCAUUGACAAUCGGCUGCAGCAUUUUCCUCGGGCCAGGGAGAUGCAAUGCCUUUCAAACGGCGCGUCAUUUCCGUAUGAAUUGUAGUUUUGAACAGUUUGUUAUGGGCAAGGGCUCGGGUUACCUUUAAGACGUUGGACUCGACACCCUUUAAAGACCUAACGCUCCCGGACGACCAUUCAAGGAAUCUGGUUUUCUCUUUUUAAAAAGUGUACAUUAAGGAAGGUUUGUGGUAGUUUUCCGACAGGCUUUUGGUGUAGGAGAUCUGAAGGUGGUCCCUCUUUCAACGCUGUUAAAGUUUGCAGAAAGCGCGUUACGAUAAGUAGACGGCGCACGCCAGGUGCCGCAGGAGUGUGAAGCUUUGUCAAAUGGGAAAUGCCGGGAGGAGAGUGAGAAAGAUCAAACCACUGCAACCAAGGGAUCUGAAGUCUGCAGAAGCAGAAGAUAAUCAGCGUGGGUUUCCGAUCCUCUGUCCUGGCCUCUGGCAUCACAAGCCUGUUCUCGACUCUGUGACUGAGGGGUAAAUUAGAAGGUGAACAAGCAAAUGCUAACCGACCCGCUGAGUAUUUCCAAAUAUUACUGUUUGUUGCGAUGUCAGUGAGAAAUCGACCCACACCUCUUCUUGUACCGCACAGGGCAGCCAAAACUAAAAUGAUCCAUCAGUUACAGGUCCUGGAACGGUAACAGUCACGAUGUUUUGACCAGAGUGGAGCUGGAACAUCGGAAACAUUUUAACUGAAGGAAUUCGUUUUAAUUUUGACCACUACCAUCAUUCUGUUCGACAUGCCUGCUUGUUCUCAGCAACAUAACUUCUCAGUGAAUAUUCAAUUUGCACUCUAACAUUUAGUAUAAAAUGUAUUUUUCUACAUUAACUCAAUGAAAUUCAGUUCGCAAUUUCGUAUAUAUUGUAAGUGGGGUUAACCCUACCGAACGGAAUUGCUUUCACUGGUGUGCGAAGGUCUGUAAUCGAUAUUUGGUAACUGCAGCAGAAUUUAAGCAAAAUGGAAGGAUGUUGCUUUGUCAUCAGUCUGAAGCAAUGCAAAAUGUAUUAGCAAAAUUUAUUGGCUAUCCGUAAAACUGCGGAAAAUAAAUGUGGUAAAAAUAAAAACAUUGCACAAAGUGAAUAAUGUCCAUUUGUGAUAAAGUUAACCACCACUGCAUCAAAUUCUAUGAAUUAAAAUUGUUUACAAAAUUGCUCGCCCUUUUACAGUAACGUGAAUAUGCAAAUUUACCACUUGUAACAUUGUUCCGAAAGGGUGUGUUAUUUUAAGCUCCUCUGUUAUCUGUUUAAAUCCAUAAUAAUUUUCGUAGAGGUAGAUGUGGCUUUGAGCCAAACCGUCCCAGCAAACCGGAUUCAUCUACAAUCCCAGCGCAUCCCCAGCUCGGCCAAACAGGGUACUGUAUAAUGAGUUUAACGUUGAGACUAUAAUAAUUUCCAUUCCAAGUUGGCCCCGAGGAAAGUGUGAGGGAAUUGGGAAUACCGCAGCAGAUUUGAACUGAAUUCCCAUAGACUACAGCGCUAGUGGAAAAGUGCUGGUCUGAAUUUAAAGAAAGAGACAUUGAUACCUUUUAUUUCAGGAGAGUUCCGAAAACCGCUUUUUUAGCAAGUAGAUUUUGUAACUUUCUUCUUUAAACUCCCAACGAAUGACAAUGACCAGAAGAAAUAA